rnacentral:rRNA from 1 species
UACGUAGGGGGCAAGCGUUGUCCGGAAUCAUUGGGCGUAAAGCGCGUGUAGGCGGCUCGGUAAGUCUGCUGUGAAAGUCCAGGGCUCAACCCUGGAAUGCCGGUGGAAACUGCCGGGCUGGAGUCCGGAAGAGGCGAGUGGAAUUCCUGGUGUAGCGGUGAAAUGCGCAGAUAUCAGGAGGAACACCAGUGGCGAAGGCGGCAUCCUGGACCGGCAUUGACGCUGAGGCGCGAAAGCUAGGGUAGCAAACGGG